AGAGUUUGAUCAUGGCUCAGGAUGAACGCUGGCGGCGUGCCUAAUACAUGCAAGUCGAACGGGGGGUACUUACUUCGGUUUUUACUCCUAGUGGCGAACGGGUGAGUAACGCGUUGGUGACCUGCCCCGAAGCGGGGGAUAACAGUUCGAAAGGACUGCUAAUACCCCAUGUGGUCGUACUGGUUAGAGGCUAUACGACUAAAGGAGCAAUCCACUUCGGGAGGGGCCUGCGUCCCAUCAGCUAGUUGGUAAGGUAACGGCCUACCAAGGCGAAGACGGGUAGGGACCUGAGAGGGUGGCCCCCCACACUGGCACUGAAACACGGGCCAGACAUCUACGGAUGGCAGCAGUAGGGAAUAUUGCACAAUGGGCGAAAGCCUGAUGCAGCAACGCCGCGUGCGCGAAGAAGGCCUUCGGGUUGUAAAGCGCUUUUCUGGAGGAAGAGGAAGGACGGUACUCCAGGAAUAAGGAUCGGCUAACUACGUGCCAGCAGCCGCGGUAACACGUAGGAUCCGAGCGUUAUCCGAAUUUACUGGGCGUAAAGCGCGUGUAGGCGGCCGGGUAAGUUGGACGUGAAAUCUCCUGGCUCAACUAGGAGAGGUCGUUCAAAACUGCCUGGCUAGAGGGCGACAGAGGGAGGUGGAAUUCCCGGUGUAGUGGUGAAAUGCGUAGAUAUCGGGAGGAACACCAGUGGCGAAGGCGGCCUCCUGGGUCGCCCCUGACGCUCAGACGCGAAAGCUAGGGGAGCAAACGGGAUUAGAUACCCCGGUAGUCCUAGCUGUAAACGAUGUGGACUUGGCGUUGGUGGGGUUAAAUCCAUCAGUGCCGUGGCUAACGCGAUAAGUCCACCGCCUGGGGACUACGGUCGCAAGAUUAAAACUCAAAGGAAUUG
rnacentral:rRNA from 1 species